CCGACGUGAUCCAGACACAAGACCCCCGACUCAUCGGCUGGCAUAGCCUUGGUGCACCUCAGCGCAGUGCGCUCCCUCAUUGCUGCAGUAUUACAACACAUCCGAACCCACAAACCGACCCUUUUUAUCUAGAGCCCAGCGCCAUUAUAGACAGACCGAGCCCCUUCCGGCGCCGAAGGUGAUAUAUCGCAAGUUGCCAGGACCAGAGUGGAGCCUGCCUGUGCCACUCAUCACCUGGGGCCGGGGCUACGCAGCAGUGUCAACUGAAACCGGCCCUGUAUGGGUUCCCGCUCGCUUUGUAAAGCCGUGGAGAGAUGGCCUGGCAUCAGGGGCCAAAGAAUCCCAUUCCGGAUUUCAGCCUGACCCUGACGGAGAGGGUGGACAAGAUUGACAAGGCUCGAAAGCGUGGCACACCCAACGUUGCCAUAACUUGGGGACAAGUCAAAGCUUUAUCACAGCAAGCUGAAUAUGUAUUAGAGCAAACUAAGGCCGAUAAGACUACAGAAAAUUACUU